rnacentral:rRNA from 1 species
UACGUAGGGUGCGAGCGUUAAUCGGAAUUACUGGGCGUAAAGCGUGCGCAGGCGGUUCGUGAUGUCUGAUGUGAAAGCCCCGGGCUCAACCUGGGAAUUGCAUUGGAAACUAGCGGGCCGGAGUGUGGCAGAGGGGGGUGGAAUUCCACGUGUAGCAGUGAAAUGCGUAGAGAUGUGGAGGAACACCGAUGGCGAAGGCAGCCCCCUGGGCUAACACUGACGCUCAUGCACGAAAGCGUGGGGAGCAAACAGG